ACGGCAUUGUGACGUCACAAAACCCCUGGGUGCCUAUAUCUGACCUGCGCGGAAAGUUCAUUCUGAGUGCGUCCUGGCGAGUCUCAGCCCCCAAGCGGGUGGAACGCACCAAGGGUCUCAUCCGCGAGGAAGGGCUUUAACGCUCAGGGUCAGGAACCUCUGAGAGCUCUUGGGGACUUGCGCGCCCUUGGAUGCUCUUGCGUUCAACAGGGCUAGGAGACUACCGGCUGGGGCGAGGAAUGCAGGCGCCUAGAGCCUUGGAGCUCCUGAAACGUUCCUGCCGCCUCCGGAAAGCAAGGGCAGUUUACCGAAGUGACUGAGGCCAAGUAUUUGCAGCACGGGCAGGGACCAGUAACUGAUUUUCAGGCCUUUUGAGAGGAAGAGGAAGAGAGAGGAAGAGAAGGAUUUCUAAUAGUAGAUAUUCACUCUCAUGGACUCUUUAGGAAACAGCAACAAAGACAAGAUUAAGAACACCAAAUUGUGUGACUAUCCACACAAAAAAGCAUCUUCAUAAGAACCAAAAAUCAGGUAAGCCAUCACAGUACGCUAUUUUAGUUUUAUAUCACUGAAAGGGACACCUAAGAAGGUAGAAAAGACAGUCUUGAAUUGCUGAUGCAACUCCUCCCCCAUCACCCCAACACUCCAGCAGCAGUGGACGCAUGGCAUGGACAGAGAAUCUGUGUGCUUCGGUAAGGGACAGCAAAGGGAUUGUGGGACUUGGCAUUGUCCUGCCCUGCCAUAGUGGAAAGCAACACCAGGCAGAACUCAGUCAGCACCCACAGAGGGAGCAUUUAGACCAGGCCUAGCCAGAGGAGAACUGCCCAUCCUAGUGUUCAAAAGUUUAGUUCUUGCAAGUCUCACCAACAUGGGCUAAACAGCUCUUGGGUACUAAAGAAACUCAAAAGGCAGUCUAGGCCACAAAGACUGCAAUUCCCAGGCAAGUCCUGACGCUAUGCUGGGCUCAGAGCCAGUGGACUUGCGGGGCACAUGACCUAGUGAAUCCCC
rnacentral:lncRNA from 1 species